ensembl:lncRNA
CCCUCCUCUCCUCCCUCCUUCUCAUCACUCCCGACAGAGCAGCGGACAGUCGCCCACAAUAAGCGGCUCUGUAGCAGCCUCCGGCUUAUCUCAUCUCCGCGGAUCGCCCCCGGUGGCGACCCGCACCGACUCUUCCCUGGAUCAUCCUCAAUCACAGAAACACAAGGGACAGAGAGGAAGGGAGAUGCUGCCGUGUUUCCACUUUCUUUGCCUUCCAAGGGUCUCUCCCACAUCUCCUCCCCGGAUCUUUUUUUGUGCUCGUCGGGCUGCGGCUGCGUAAAGCUCCACAGCAGCAGCCGCAGCAGCAGCAGAUGUGUUGAGCGACCCAGCUAAUAGCAGUAUCUUCCCAUAGAGGCCACGGCUUGAUGCUGAAAUCCCUACAUUCAUGAGAAGGCAACAGGAAGCCGAUUACUGAGGGAUUAAACGCAUGUACACGUAUGCACAUGCACACACAGAGGAUACAACAGUUCCAGGAUUUGACUGCCAUCCAUCUGUGGAUCUCGCUCUGAAUGAACUUGUCUGACUGACUGAGAUGCUCUCUGGUAUCAUGGAAGAAGAGGAGGAGCCCACAGAGUCUCAUUGAAUUCAAAACACAUGACCCCAACCUCCCUCCUCAUGCCUCACCAUCAAAGGCUUUGACUGCUCGAUGAGAAAUUACACACGUGUAAUAAACAGCAGAGCGUGCAGAAAGAGAGAGGAAGGCAGAGCCUACAAUCCGCCUGCUGCUGUCCCAUGAUGCAUCAACACUUGUAAGAGCAGAAUCAGCCACACAGAGGGCUGUUUCUAUGGAUACCCCUGCCCUGGGUUGUAUUAAUAAGGCUCAGUGAUAUUCUGACUAUCUGCGUAUGAAGAAUACACAGAGAGAGAUUAGAAGUACAUCUUUGCAACAGAAUACAACUUCAAAAAAAACAAAAAAUUGUGCAGGAAAGAAAGACAUCACCAUCAAGUGUCAAGAGGAAGAUGUUGAAGGAAAAAAUGUCCUAUUAUUAACCAUGAACUGUAGAUGAUUUUCCAUCACAUGUUUAAACAUGUGGCUGCAAGAUCACUGACUAAACCAAACGUUAGAUUUCUUUCCACUUGGUUUCAUAUAUUUUGAUCCUUUUUGAUAUUCAGUCC